AUGCAGCUGGAUCUUAGUGACCAGCAAGAGCACACAUCUCAGUCUGCCUCACAGCUGUUUUGUGUCCAGAGGUUUCUGAGGAUUCCCCAGCAUGGCAGAAAGCAAUCAUUGUGUGGUUGGCUACAUGGGAUCAGAUGGGACCAUCCUUCAGUUCUGCUGCUACUGCUAAUCCCUACUGCUACCAUGCCCUCCUACUGCUACCCUACUGCUGCCACCAAGCCUGCAAAAGGACCUGUACAUGAGUCUUGCCCUCCUGCUGGCCAUAUCCACCCAGCAUUGGGAGUGCACAGCCAUGAUUAUGUGGCAAAUGGACAGUUACAGCUCAUGUGUGGCAACUUGACUUUAAAAGUCUGCAAAAUGAGUGAGACUGGGCAUUUCAUGGGGAAGAGGACCAUGCACUUGCUGGAUUUCACAGAAAGGCACAAUCAUGGAUAUGUCCAUCUCUUCCUCUCUGGCAGAAAUAUCUGCCCCAAAGAGGUGUUGGCUAUAGCACAACACAGCGUGUCUGGGUCACUGUGGUAGUACCUCCAAACAAAGGAAUAGUGUUUCUGGUCCAUGGAAAUAAGCUGUGACUAGUGGAAGCUAAUCCUCUUGGCCAUCUGAGACAAACUUUCAAAUACCCCAUCUGACCUUCAUGGAAAUCUGUGAUAAGUUAGCCCCUUGUCUUGAGCAGCAGACUACCAGGAUGAGGGUCCCUUGACCAUGAAAAAGCACAUUGCCACUGCACUAUGGAAGCUCACUGGCCUCUGGUCUGUGGCCAACCAGUUCAGAGUUGGUAAGUCCACAGUAGGAUCAGUGGUGUGCAAGGUGUGUCUGGUGAUCCAGCAGGUGAUGACCCUAUGGAUCAUACACCUUGCCAACACACAGAGGGUCAUAGCCAGUUUCACUUACCCAGGAUUCCUGAAUUGUGUUGGGGCUGUUGAUGAUCACACACACACACACACACACACACACACACACACACACACACACACACACACACACACACACACACACACACACACACACACACCAUUCUUUCCCUCUAUGCACUGAGGCCAGAACUUUUUCUCACAGGCUGCAGUGUACCACCAGGCAGGGCUGGUUCACACAUGUCAAUGUCAGCUAGUCAGUGGCAUGCAGGGCAGGGAGGCUGGGUGUGUAGGCAUCCCCUCACUUUAUUUUCCUGAUCACAUGUUUCCUAUUAAACUUUGUCAACCAACAUUGACAGGCAGUGGCAGGGUAUGAGUGGUGGGAGGUGGAGACACAGUGGAGGGGGACAGCAAAUCAUGAAAUCCCUCCUUGCACUGGAGCCCAAUAGUUACAGCCCAAUCAUUUCUCUAGCUGAAGAGGCUGCCCUUGCCUCUCCAUUGACUACUGGCAAGCAGCUUGCAUGCUGGGGUUCUUAGCACCUUGUAAGCAGAAUGGGCUCCUUU
rnacentral:lncRNA from 1 species